rnacentral:rRNA from 1 species
AGCGAACGCUGGCGGCAGGCCUAACACAUGCAAGUCGAACGAACCCUUCGGGGUUAGUGGCGGACGGGUGAGUAACACGUGGGAACGUACCUUUAGGUUCGGAACAACACAGGGAAACUUGUGCUAAUGCCGAAUGUGCCCUUCGGGGGAAAGAUUUAUCGCCUUUAGAGCGGCCCGCGUCUGAUUAGCUUGUUGGUGAGGUAAAGGCUCACCAAGGCUUCGAUCAGUAGCUGGCCUGAGAGGAUGAUCAGCCACACUGGGACUGAGACACGGCCCAGACUCCUACGGGAGGCAGCAGUGGGGAAUCUUGCGCAAUGGGCGAAAGCCUGACGCAGCCAUGCCGCGUGAAUGAUGAAGGUCUUAGGAUUGUAAAAUUCUUUCUACCGGGGAAGAUAAAUGACGGUACCCCGGAGAAGAAGCCCCGGCUAACUUCGUG